UUCCUCACCCGCAGCCUCACGGCCUCCCUCCUGCGCGUCGGCGGCCACCGCCUCCCUCCAGAGCGCCGCCCGCCGCGCCGCCUACCUCCCCCGCGUCGCCGGCCACCGCCUCCCUCCCCGCACUGAUUGGCCGCCGCAUCCCUCCACCACACCGACGGCCGCCGCAUCCCUCCCCCACACCAACGGCAGCUGUAUCCCUCCCCCGUGCAGACGGCCGCCGCAUCCCUCCCCCACACCAACGGCAGCUGUAUCCCUCCCCCGUGCAGACGGCCGCUGCAAGCUCCUCCCGCUCAUGGCCGCCGCAAGCUCCUCUUGUACGCCAACCUCCACCCCGCCUUCCCCCUCCAUUCUCCCUCAUGCUCGGGCGCCAGCCAUCCUUCUUCCACACGCGCGGCACCUAGAUCCACCGCCGGCCGACCUCCCUCAUCCCGUUUGUUGGCCGCCGUCCAUGUCGUACCAUUUUUUCUGGAAGAAAACCAACUUGGACUUCGCUUACGACCUUUGCACCAUUUUGAGCGCCGGCAGCUCCUUCCUUUGCCAUUGAUACAGCCAUCGACAUGUACUGAGUGUUCCUUUGCAAGUUCAAUCAGUGUCAUCGCACAAGUUCAGAAGUUUGAUUUUGUGAAGAAGUAUGAAAAUUCUCAGUGCAAAUGUGGAAAACCAGAAAGUUAUAAUAAUGGUGUACCAAAAGUUCAAGGAUAGUAAUCCGAGAACGUGGGAGCAACUGCUGAUGGAGGCGGAGUCAAAAUCUCGUGACUUUCUGCUGCAGAUCUUCAGCAUGGACUUCGAUGAAGACACUCCUCUGAUGUUAAUGCGCAUUUGCAUUUUAAUAAAGAAGUUACAGAAUUUCAGUUCCUCGGUACUUAUAAGAUCUUCAGAGGAUGACAGAGGAUGCCCAUGUGUACUGUGUACAAGCCAGCCAACCAUGUAUAAGGAUCCAAUGGAAGACUAGCAAUUGACCGUGGAGGACGUACUGGAUCCCUGACAUGAUGCAAUUAGUCAUCAGUGUCGAUGACUGAUUUGUUUUGUUUUGUACAAGUUAAAACAUCAGCGGCCAUAGGGAAGGAGACCUUCCCAGACCGUGCCCCUGGACAAUGCAACAACGAAUUGGACGCCAUUUCCGCCUCUCUGCCAGCAGUGUCGUUGUCCCCUUCUAGCUCAGCACCAGUUUCCCCACCUCAUGAUACGGUCUGCAGGUGCUUGUGAGUUGUCUGCUAGGUGUUGUUUAAGUGUCACAGACGACGUGUUGUCUCCUGGCAUCUGGAUUAGCUGCCGACUGCAAAUAAAAGCACGAGCGAGGCUGGAGCAACUGCAGACCGGUGACGAGAACCACUCUUCAGUUCUGCUAUUCGUGUAUUGGAAGUACGUAUCCUCUAUCCAGGCAGGAGGUAGAGGGACGGUGGCAUGAAGCAGUUGAGUAGGUGUGCGUGGUGAGCAGCUACUGAACUUAUUCAAACAAUACAAAUACAGUCCCACACAGCCUCUCAACACCACUUCUCGAACCUGCUUGAACCUUCAUGGCCCAGGCCGUUCACUGCCUCCACACAAGGCCAUUCGAUGACGCAGCGCUCAAGCCGUUCACCUCCGCCACACAAGGUCGUGCGACGACGCAGUGAUCAGGCUGUUCACCUCUACCACCGCAAGCCGUUCACCUUUACCACAGGUGGUCGACGCAACGCUAAGGAUGUUGUGUUCUUUUUUAGUACAUGUUAUGUGUGCUUUUCAGUUCACCUAGUUGGCAAUUCUAUGUCCAAUUUCUCCUCUGUUUAUGUGUCUUCCUGUAGCACAAGAGGUGUUGUGUGUUAUGCCUUAAUAAGCAAAUAUUGUUUUGUUCUCAGUAUUCUGAUGUAGGCCAAAAUGGUGAACAUUUAAACAUCAGCCCAAAUUAAUAGAACUGAGAUGUUCUACUUUGAGUAAACGGGUGAACCUAGAUGCAACAAAGCUCUGCCAUUAGCCAUGGGGAUUAUCAGUUCAUGUGUAUUGUAUUCUUUUUGUCCGUUAAUGUAUUUUCUUGUUUGUC